rnacentral:rRNA from 1 species
GACGAACGCUGGCGGCGCGCCUAACACAUGCAAGUCGAACGAGAGAGGAAGAGCUUGCUUUUCCGAUCGAGUGGCGAACGGGUGAGUAACGCGUGAGGAACCUGCCUCAAAGAGGGGGACAACAGUUGGAAACGACUGCUAAUACCGCAUAAGCCCACGGCUCGGCAUCGAGCAGAGGGAAAAGGAGCAAUCCGCUUUGAGAUGGCCUCGCGUCCGAUUAGGUAGUUGGUGAGGUAACGGCCCACCAAGGGGACGAUCGGGAGGCGGAAUGAGGGGUUGCACGGCCACCUUGGGACUGAGACACGGCCCAGACUCCUACGGGAGGCAGCAGUGGGGAAUAUUGCACAAUGGGGGAAACCCUGAUGCCGCGACGCCGCGUGGAGGAAGAAGGUCUUCGGAUUGUAAACUCCUGUUGUUGAGGAAGAUAAUGACGGUACUCAACAAGGAAGUGACGGCUAACUACGUGCCAGCAGCCGCCGCCG